AUAUGCUUUCCUCAAACACGAGGGUGGAUUAGCCAGCCAGCUUCUAUAGCAGCAUGGGUUUUUGUUAGCUUGGAAUAUAUGCUCCUAAUGUGUCUCUUAUAAAUAGUAGAAAUAGUUGAAAAUGGUUACAAUAAUCUUUAAUAAUUGAUAUAAAAGAAAAGGCUAUGGAUUCCUUACUCCCAUUUUUAUGUAGGAGUAUGAUUAACCAUCAUCAAAAUAAUUACAAAAUAUACCCCUUUUUUUAUUUUUGAAAAAAUAAAUAAUUAGAUAAUCCCUCUAAUUUCUACUUUUUACACUUUUUUCUUUUUUCCUUUUAAUUUCAGAUUCAAAGAAGAGAAGCAUUUGGUCUGCUAGGGUUGUUACCCCUCUUCCAAUCACUGCCAUUCUCUUAUCCUCUCCCUCUCCUGUAUCUCUCGUUUGCUUAUCUUUGCCGCCGCAACACGCCUCAGACGACACCGUAACCUGCUUUCGCCGCCGCCGCCGCCUCAACACGCUUCCGAGUGAAAUAGAUACCUGAUUGAUUCUCUUGGUACGGGUGACACACCUUAAUAAACCCAGACUGGCUAAUUGAUUCAUACGUCCGAGUGCAGGGGAAAAAAGUAGUUCACUGAACAAGCACUUGUUGAGUUUGAAGAGCCGUAUCAUCCCAUGCAUGAGAAAUUCAAGGAUUCAAUGAGGCAGCAAGAUCAUGAUGUUGAUGAGGAAUUGUAGGCCAGUUCCUGGAAUCAUGUUUAGCCAGAAAGGGAUGCAGAGUUUGCCUCUUGAGAAAAUGGAUCAGGUGGUACAGAUCAUAAGGAAGAUGAAUGGAAACGUAAAGCAAGGUGGGGAUGAGAUUGAGAUUGUUAUUGAGGCUGUUGACACUGAAACCCUUUGGGAACUUGAUCGGUAUGUGACCAAUUGGAAGAUGAUGAGAAAAAUUAAGCGGCAGGCACUACUUGGCACCUUGAACAACAAUGCCGCACCCAACAAAUCCAAUGGGGAAUGUUCUUUUCAUUGUGUGCAUCUUCCUUUGUUUUAUUGAGUUUGACCUUAUCUUCCAUAUACUAUUUUGUGAUUAUGGUCAAAUGUACAGGAAUUAGCAACUAGUGAUAUUAACCCUAUUUGUAGCCGUUAUCUGUUAUAACUAUUGGCUGCGGAGUAAAAAUGACAAUAUAAUUUGAUUACUAUUUGUAGAUUGAUUCAGGGAGUUCCUUGGGGAGUGAUUAUGAAGCAGACAAUCGGCACUUGCAGCAGCCCUACAGGGCUUUUGUUACAUAUGCUCCAACAUGACCAAUGUGGGUGAGUUGAUGAAGGUGUUUGCUUGAUUGAGCAUGCCUUGAGCAAACGUUUUGAUAAAUUAGCAAGGUGCUGUGAACAUUGCUUUGCUGGUGCAGUUUGGGAGUAGCUGUUUGAUUGGGUGCUAAGUCCCUUUUCUCGAUGUUUGGUAGCGUGCAAUAGUUGUAAAAUUGAUCGUAGGAAAUUUAGGCCAAAAAGAGUAGUGAAAUGUGGUGAAAAUCCUAUCAAUAAUGCCUUAGAGAUUAGGAAUAGGAUGUUGUUCUCUUUUUUAGCUUACCUUGUACACAUUACACUAGUAAAUAGAGUUAUCCUCUUCUAAGGAGGUCUUUUCACGAAUCUGUAUUUAAACUGUUGAAAAGUAUCACCAAUCUUAACCAAGGAGUGUGUAGUAAAGGAAGCGAAAAUAGAGGAUUUUCUUUUA